rnacentral:rRNA from 1 species
UACGUAGGGUGCGAGCGUUGUUCGGAGUUACUGGGCGUAAAGCGCACGUAGGCGGUGCGGUAAGUCAGGGGUUAAAGGCUGCAGCUCAACUGCAGUAAGGCCUUUGAUACUAUCGUGCUAGAGUGUCAGAGAGGAUGGCGGAAUUCCCGGUGUAGCGGUGAAAUGCGUAGAUAUUGGGAGGAACACCAGUAGCGAAGGCGGCUAUCUGGCUGGUAACUGACGCUGAGGUGCGAGAGCGUGGGGAGCAAACAGG